ACUCAACUCAACUCAA
rnacentral:sRNA from 1 species